rnacentral:lncRNA from 1 species
ACAAGUCUACUUAAGUAAGAAGACCUUAAUUAAGAUGGAGGAAAGAAAAAAGUAGCAGAGGUGGUCAAAGUGUCUUAUUACUUACUGAAAAUGAAGUUUCUUUUCAUGCAUAUGCCACUUCUUAAAUGCAUCACAUUUUCUUUUAACAUUGAUGAUUAUUACUUCACUACUGUAGCUGAAAUUGUACAAGCGAUUCUUGUUGGUGAUUUUGACAAGGCAAAAAAAAAAGAGAGCAACUAAAAUGAAAAGAAUAACACUGCUUACCCUCUUGUAUUUUAGUAUCAUGGCAUGUUUCUAGAAAUCAUGUCAAGGUUAAUCGAGAACAUUUGAAACAUAUUAUUCUCAACGAAAUGUGAUUACUUGCUUGCCUGAAAUUUUAUGAAAUAUAUCACAUGAGAGACUAGAACUACAUUUUUUUAGUAUUUUAUUUUGAGCUUUCUAACUUGGCAUAUCUUCUACCAAGAUCUUUUGCCAGUGCAAGGCAUCAUACAAUUUGAACUUAGUGUGGUCCAGACUCUAUUCUGUUGGUCCUGUAGCUUAAUGCAAGAUUAUCAUAUGUGAUCAGUUAUAGCAUAUAAGGGGGUUGCUCUGCUAGGGUUUCCUAUAUUUCUGCGUAGUCUUUUGGUACGUGUUCAGAGUACAGGAAAUUAAUGUUAAUUGUAGACCGCUGUAUAUUAGGCAAAAAAAAUAUAUAUAAUUUAGAUUAAUGACAUGGAAAACAUGACAUGAUAAACUUGUGGUCACAUAUAUCUGAUAUAUAUCUGUCUGAAUACAUGCAGAACUUAGUAACAGGUCAUUGCAGGCGAGACUACAAGGACCUACUGUAUUCAAAUCCACGCCUAAUACUGAAUUUCAAUUGAUGAUCACAGCUGUUGCCGUGUUAUAUUAUGCACAAGUGGUAUGUGAGGGAAACAAUUUAUUUUUAUUUACAGCUAGCUAGCAUCUGCCUCUUCAACGUUUUACUUCCUUAUUCGUGGCUUUUUAAUUCCAGUAAUAUAUAUAUAUUGUACUAGUAAUUACCAGUCAUUUGUCUGUAUAUUUUGUAUUGCUGUCCGUACACUUGAAUGAAGUAAGUUCUUCAGACGUCUUAACCA